rnacentral:tRNA from 1 species
CCUGAUAGCAAGUGACUAUAGGCA